GGAGAUGGCUAGGCAAUCGCUCUUGUGAAGAUAGCUGAGAGAGGAAAGUCCGGGCUCCGUAGAGUAAAGAGCCGGUUAAUAGCCGGGCGCUGUGAGGCGACGGAAAGUGCAGCAGAAAAUAUACCGCCUCUUUUUUAGAGGUAAGGGUGAAAUGGUGAGGUAAGAGCUCACCGCCUUGGUGGUAACACUCAAGGGCAUGGAAAACCCCUCUUGGAGCAAGACCAAAUAGGCAAGCGUUGAGGUGACUCGCUGAGCUUGCGGGUAGGUUGCUUGAGGUGGCCAGUAAUGGUCAUCCCAGAUGUAUGAUUGUCCUAGACAGAACCCGGCUUAUAGGCUGUCUUUUCCC
rnacentral:RNase_P_RNA from 2 species